rnacentral:lncRNA from 1 species
GCCUUUUAUGUCCUUCUCUCUCUGUCACCUGUUCUCUCUUGGAACGGCUAUAGAGCCAUCUUCGCAAAAAAAAAAACUUGUUUUUGCUUAAGAUAUUUGUCAUGCAUAAAAAAGUUCAAGAAUAAGGGAAAUUACAACCUAUUGGCAAUUUGAAAAAAAGUGCACAUACAAAACAAGGUGCUUAGAAACAAAUAUUUAAAGAAAGAUAAUAUUGCCACAUCAUAAGAAUGAAUAUAGAAAUUAAUUCCAACAAUGCAAUUGUGUUUAAAUAGGCCCAACAAACUUGCUAGUACACAUCGAACAAUGACAAACAUAAGCAUGUUACCCACAUUUUAAGCAGUUAAGCAUCAUGUGCAAAUAACAUGGUGAAAAAAAGGUUUGUUAGUAAGCAUCUUCCCUAACUCUAUAAGCAUCCCAAUUUUAUGGUUGUACAUGCUUUGAAGCAAUCAUGUUGCAUAUCUCAUUAGACCUUCAAUAGAUGCCACUAACGACUAACAAGGAAUUGGAGAAAGGAGGUUGCAUUUUAAGGUUUUAUAGUUUAUACCAAGAAUUUGUUAGCUUGUUGCUGAUAGGUUUACGGGAGAGGGGGUAUGGAGAUCGGUGGUGCUUGUUGGAAGUGUGCUAGGUGGUUAGACAGGGCGCUGAUUGUUUUCGCGACCGUGCCAUGGCACGUUUUUGAGACAAGGCGCUGUUUUUUUUUGUGACCAUGCUAUGGCACAUUUUUUAGAUAGGGCGCUGGUCAUAGCAGGGGAACAAAAACAAGUGAGACAGAAGUGGCAUAAAAAACUUUAUGGUGGAAUGUUGUGUUGUUAAGGACAAGAGGAGCCUGUAGUAGUGGGGCAUUAAAAGCCUCCAUAGAAAGAAAGAAAGAAAGAAAGAAAGAAAGAAAGAAAGAAAGAAAGAAGUGAGUGCAAGGGAGCAUGGGUUAGAGCAUGAACAUGGUUACAAGCCUUUGAUGACCAUCGAAUAGCUCACAAUUGUAUAUAUGCAUAGUUUUAUGAUAAUGCAAUUUGAAAUAAUUUUCUAUGAUAAUGUAGUUUUAGAGAAAUGAUGUAGACUUAGAGCCUUAGAGGUCAAACAGAGCCAAUACCUUAUGGAUAUUGUCUGGACUAUUUGAUAGAGAUCUAUAUUCUCCCAUAAACGUUUAUAGAUAUUGUAAUACCCGAUUUCAAGGACAAAACCAGAUAUGCACUAUAUGUGAGUCAUAGAAGUCAAAUCUCACAUAUAGCUACAAAUAAGGGGUAAUAUCAAAAGACAAUGCAUAAAUAUAUAACGUACUUAAUAUAAAAGAGAUAACCUUGAUAGCAAACAGCGGAUAGACAACUCCGAACUUCGGGUAUUAACUUCUCUCUACAGGAUCCAACUGACUGGUUGAUCACAAGCCUAAACUUCUCCUGAGGUUUGGGGGAAAGAGCAAGAGUGAGUCCAUGUCGAACUCCACAAGUAUAGCAACUAGAUUGUAUAGCUCCCACAAUCUCAUGAUCAAUGUGACAUAAAUAAUGUAGAGCAUUAAAUAAUAAACAAUGAGUAUAUUUAACACACAAGAAUCAUCACCCUUAAUGUAGAUGUCCCCAAGGCCGCUCCUGACCGUG